rnacentral:snRNA from 1 species
AUUCUUACCUGGUGUCGUGGCCUCGUUGAUCACCGAGGACAAGCCACCAGUCGCGAGGCACAGGAUUUACACUGUGCUCGCAUUGACCACUGCCACUACCCCAAACUGGAUUAGAUGGGACAUGCGAAUUGCUCAAAUCUGGUUAACCCAAA